AUUCCCAUUCUGGCACAGUUACAAAUGAGUUCUCUAUCUAUCUCUAUGGGCUACACAACUCGGAAAUUCAUAAUUUUGCUAUUGCGCUGGUCAACGUUACGCUCGAAGCGAAAUUGACAAGCAGCGGAAUAUGUCCAAAGAGUUUCUAUUGGAUAAAUUCAGGCAGACUAGCGAAACAAGAUGACAUCCCCC